rnacentral:rRNA from 1 species
AAUAGAUACCCGGGUAGUCCUGGCCCUAAACGAUGUCCACUAGAUUGCGGCGGGUUUGACCCCGUCGCGGUCGAAGCAAAAGUGUUAAGUGGACCGCCUGGGAAGUACGGUCGCAAGGCUAAAACUCAAAGGAAUUGACGGGGGCUCACACAAGCGGUGGAGCAUGUGGUUCAAUUCGAAGCAACGCGCAGAGCCUUACCUGGGUUUGACAUGACUGGAUUAUCCCGGUGAAAGCCGGGUAGGCCCCGCAAGGGGUACAACAGUUACAGGUGCUGCAUGGCUGUCGUCAGCUCGUGUCGUGAGAUGUCGGGUUAAGUCCCUUAACGAGCGAAACCUUUACCCUUAGUUACCAGCGGGUUAUGCCGGGGACUCUAAGGGGACCGCCGGUGUCAAACCGGAGGAAGGUGGAGAUGACGUCAAGUCCUCAUGGCCUUUAUGCCCAGGGCCACACACGUGCUACAAUGGCGUUCAUAAAGCGACCCUAAAGCGCGAGCUCAUGGAAAUCGCAAAAUACGCCCAGUUCAGAUCGGAGGCUGCAACUCGCCUCGUGAAGUUGGAA